CAGUCCCCAGGCUGUGGGGAGGAGGGACAGGGCUCUGAUCUUUUGGAAUCCAGAACAGUGUUUCUCUUCACGGGGAGGGCUGUGGCUCUGCUAACUCUGCCCUGGACAUUCCCUUGGAAACUGUUUUAAGUAAUCUUUCUCUAGGAGGCCGUGCGUUACAAUGGAAUAAGCGGUUCCUUCCAAAGCCCAUGGACAUUGUGCCAGGUAAAAGAUGAGGAACCUGAGGCAGGAGGAAGAAGCUAAAUGGUUUACCCAGGAUCAUGGAGGGAACCAGAAUGUAGCUGGAGAAGUUGUUAGAGAUUUCUUCUGAAGUUUAACUAUCCCAGCUGAAUUAACAAGCAGAAGGAUCCGUGGGACUUCAAAGGCGUUAGCUAGUUCAGACAUACAAAAUUGUGCUGCGCUGAAGCCUAGCUUAUGUAGCCCUAAUAACAACAUUCAACAGCCUCCACCUCUUAUUGGAAAAGAGAACAAAGCGACCAACUAUUUCAUUGCACACAGAUUUUGUUGCAAGUUACACUAAAAUUUCUGAAAAGUGUUUAAUUGUCAUGCAGGCGGUGUUAGCAUAAUUGACUGGGGGUGGUGGUGGUUUGUAUUGCAGCCUUUAAUACUCUUGGAAUUUUUAUCAUUAGCACAAAGAAACAACAAGCAGUCCUCCCCCCUCCCUCCCCAACAUUGUUAAUGCUUGUCCCUCUUCUAGUGGUUUUUUUGUAACCAUGUAAACUUCAUAAGGGAGGAUAAUUUCCUUGCCUUUGCUGUCUUGUAUCUUUUAUGUAUUGUAAU